rnacentral:rRNA from 1 species
UUGGAGGGCAAGUCUGGUGCCAGCAGCCGCGGUAAUUCCGGCUCCAGUAGCGUAUAUUAAAGUUGUUGCAGUUAAAAAGCUCGUAGUUGAAUUUCGGGAUCAAUGGAUUGGUCAUGCCGUUGGUAUGUACUGAUUUUAUUGAUUCUCACCUUCUAAAGAAUCAUAGUGCCAUUAAUUUGGUGUUGUGAGGAAUUAGGACUGUUACCUUGAAAAAAUUAGAGUGUUUAAAGCAGGCUUACGCUUGAAUACAUUAGCAUGGAAUAACGAAAUAGGACAUCGCAUUCUAUUUUGUUGGUUUCUAGGAUCGAUGUAAUGAUUAAUAGGGAUAGUUGGGGGCAUUAGUAUUCAAUUGUCAGAGGUGAAAUUCUUGGAUUUAUUGAAGACUAACUACUGCGAAAGCAUUUGCCAAGGAUGUUUUCAUUAAUCAAGAACGAAAGUUAGGGGAUCGAAGACGAUCAGAUACCGUCGUAGUCUUAACCAUAAACCAUGCCGACUAGGGAUCGGAUGAUGUUAAUUUUUUAAUGACUCAUUCGGCACCUUACGGGAAAC